rnacentral:rRNA from 1 species
UGGGGAAUAUUGCACAAUGGGCGCAAGCCUGAUGCAGCCAUGCCGCGUGUAUGAAGAAGGCCUUCGGGUUGUAAAGUACUUUCAGCGGGGAGGAAGGGAGUAAAGUUAAUACCUUUGCUCAUUGACGUUACCCGCAGAAGAAGCACCGGCUAACUCCGUGCCAGCAGCCGCGGUAAUACGGAGGGUGCAAGCGUUAAUCGUAAUUACUGGGCGUAAAGCGCACGCAGGCGGUUUGUUAAGUCAGAUGUGAAAUCCCCGGGCUCAACCUGGGAACUGCAUCUGAUACUGGCAAGCUAGAGUCUCGUAGAGGGGAGUAGAAUUCCAGGUGUAGCGGUGAAAUGCGGAGAGAUCUGGAGGAAUACCGGUGGCGAAGACGGCCCCCUGGACGAAGACUGACGCUCAGGUGCGAAAGCGUGGGGAGCAAACAGG